AUGGUCCGUGAAUAUCUUUGAGAGCAUAAGUGUUUGACUUCUAUAGAUAUCUACUGAGGCUGAUCUGAUCAAGAGAAUUCGAUCUCACCGAGGGGCUAGCUCUCUUACAGAGAUUGCUUUUUGAAUUGUUGAAUCAGUUUGAUCUUUUAAUCCUCUUCUCAAGAGAAUCAAAUAGAUCUAAAAGAGAAGGAUGAAAUCAGAUCAUAUUUGAUUUUUUUUUCUUUUCUCUUCUCAAGAUAAAAUGUGAAGAUCUAUG
rnacentral:lncRNA from 1 species